CCUACGGGAGGCUGUAGUGGGGAAUAUUGGACAAUGGGGGCAACCCUGAUCCAGCCAUGCCGCGUGUGUGAAGAAGGCCCUCGGGUUGUAAAGCACUUUCAGUGAGGAAGAACGCCUGGUGGUUAAUACCCAUCAGGAAAGACAUCACUCACAGAAGAAGCACCGGCUAACUCCGUGCCAGCAGCCGCGGUAAUACGGAGGGUGCGAGCGUUAAUCGGAAUUACUGGGCGUAAAGCGCGCGUAGGUGGCUUGAUAAGCCGGUUGUGAAAGCCCCGGGCUCAACCUGGGAACGGCAUCCGGAACUGUCAAGCUAGAGUGCAGGAGAGGAAGGUAGAAUUCCCGGUGUAGCGGUGAAAUGCGUAGAGAUCGGGAGGAAUACCAGUGGCGAAGGCGGCCUUCUGGACUGACACUGACACUGAGGUGCGAAAGCGUGGGUAGCAAACAGGAUUAGAUACCCGUGUAGUC
rnacentral:rRNA from 1 species